CCCACCCACUACAGAUCAAGAACUGUGCCAUCUGCAAUUCCUACUAUGUAGUUGGGGUUGCCCCACUCCAGGAACCAUCCGCUUCCCAGAACAAUGAUGCCAAGGAGGUGGCCUUGGGAGCCACAGGGCAAGACUCAGGCCCAAACUGGACUCAGAAGGAAAAACAGACACUUCCUUCACAAUCAACCAUCUCCUCAAGGCAGAGCAAUCUUCCCGUGGUGAAAGGCUGAGUAUAGAAGAGCAAACCAAAACCACAAGCAAAUCUAUUUCAAGCCUCUGCUUGUAUCACACCUGCUCAUUGGCCAAAGCAAAAGACAUGGCCAAGACCAAAAUCAAGGUGCAGGGAAGUCCACUCCACUCCAAUGGGGGGAACUGCAGAUCCCAUGGUGAAAGGUAUGAAUGUGUAAUUCCAGUUUAGAAGGUGUGACAAAGUGGGGAACAACGUUCCUAUCUCUCACUUUCCCCUUACUUCCCGGACUUUAUUUAAAGCAUACUGAACUAUUUGCUGGGCUACAAAAAGUAUAAACCUGAGUUGCCCUCAAAACAACCAUGCUAGCAGUUGUAUCCAUAUUCUAAACCCAGUAGUCAGGUAGAAAUAUAGACAGCAGCAGACACCCAUAAUAAUUAUAAUAAUUUAUUAAUAUAAAUCACAAUAGCAUUUUGAAGGCAUGGGACACAUACACGGGCUCUUUCAUUUACUCUCAUAAUAGUGCUAUUAUAAUAAGGGUUGUAUUCAUUUCCCUUCAAUAGCUACUUAUGCCAGCUUUGGUUUGAAUAAAGUGGUAGUUUGUUUUCUCAGCCCAAAUUUUGGGCUCUCGGUCAACUUGGACCUCCAGCUGCAGCAGAGGGCCCCUCCUGGCAAAGCAGUUUCUCUCCUUACCUCUCUUGUCAGCUGGAGGACUCUGGUGUGGGUAUAGCUGCUCUAUCAAGACUGCUGAAAGAGCAAGAAGUCAUCAAUGUAAACCAACAUUCUGAAUGCUCCCCACUAUUUCCCCUCUUAUCACAGCCUCACUCAGCUUGCAGUGUGCAUCUUCAAGUAUUGUAUAUAGUAGUUGAAGCAAAAUUUUGCCACUGCAUUACAAGAGUCACCAGCUUUCCAGCCUGUAAUGUGUGUCCCCUCCUUGCUCAAAGGCCUGCCUGCUGCACUUAGUCAAUUCUACUUUUAGUGUUGUUACUUGUAGCAUCCCACUUCCGGUAACACGUUCUUUGUCAGUAAGAGCUCUUAGGCACAAAUAACAGAAUCCACUAUGGCUAGCUUAAACAGAAAAAUAAUUAGGCAAGUCGUCAUCAUCAUCAUAGAUGACAGGGUCUUGCUCCAUCAUAGUGGACACAACCUGACAGGACAGCAGGAGGAAGAGGCUUGGAGCUAAGCACCAAGAACAAAGUCUGAAAUGAUGCUGUAGGACUAACACGAGAAGGGAGUCACCAUUGAAGCAUCUGAACCUGACUUUACUGCACCUGCUACCACCACCCACUAGCCCUGACAUCACUUCUGCAUUGGGACUUUAACCUUUCAGCCUCCAGAAAACCAUCGCCACUGCCACUACCACCACCAUAGUCAUUCCUGACACCACUCACAUCAGAAAAGAUGGAAGCUCCAAGUACAUCCUGUCUCUGCACCUCACUCACUUUCAAAUUAAAGUCAUUCCUGAGUAUCUGAAUGACACAGCCUAGGUCAUAGGCCUGUGCCCUCGCUGCAAGCGAGGUUGGGAAUUUGAGUUCUGACUUCUAGACUGGGAUUAAGACAUAAAGAUUUCCACAAAUAUUAA
rnacentral:lncRNA from 10 species